CUGCAAUCACAUAAUCUCAUCAGAAGUCACAUUAUGUAGUGAGUCAGUGAUUUCAUUAUUAUCUUUUUCUUACACUGAAGGCUAUGAAUUUGAAAGGACUUUCAUCAUGGAAAAGGCCAUUUUCGUCGAGCCAUCUCUCUGGCCGAAACUCUUCUGCAUCAUCACCCCAUAGAGAUUUCAUCCUUCCCAUUGCAUACGGUUGGUAUACCACCAUGUCCCCAUUUUUGACACUAAAUCCAUCUGGCCAGGUAUCAUCAGAAAAACACAUCCUCAUGUUCUACGAAUGGCAGCAUCACACAAAACAAACUUGUUUAGAGGUAGAUUAUGUGAUUCAAGAAAUGCGAGGAAUUGUAACCUUGCAAGUGUCAGUUGAGAAUAUUAGAUUUAUAGACGUACCAUUGGAACUGCAGGAUAGAGUCUUAAUGUUUCUGUCAAAGCCGCAUGGAGAUAUUGCAUUUUGUUUAGGGCUUCAUCAGUAAGGAUUGCUGCAAGCUCAUCAACUCUUAAAUUAUCUUUCAAAUUUGUUACUUCUCUAACUUCUUUUGCAAUCUUCUCCUGUAUGUGAAGAUGCUUGCACAUCAUGUAAACAAACCAUGAAAGAGAGCUAGCUGUCGUGUCUUGGCCGGCAACAGUAACACAAAGGACCAUGUCUCUCAGGUACUUUGGAUCAGUAUCUUUCAUUUCCAAACGCCUUGAAACCAAGUCUCUUUUCUUCAGCUGACAUGGAUCCUCAUUACAUAUUUACAUUAGAAAUGAUAAACACCAAUUCAAUUCACUCUAUAUAUAAGCAAUAACAAACAAAUGAAGUGGAAGGUAACUCACAGAUAGAUUAUCUUCUUGAUUCUGCAUAGUUUCAAUCUUGCUAUUGAUUAAUUUAUACACAAAUUGAUCGACCUCUUUGAUGUUUUUCUUUAGCUCUGCUUCCUUACCGAUGUUCAAGAAGCGUUUUAUUUUCCAGGAGAUAUCAAUAUACCGAUAGAGGGUAGCUUCUUGUCCAGAUUCAAAAGCAUGGGAAAACCGGUUACCUUGUUCAUCUUUUCCACUCAUGCUGUCUAGUUCGAUAUCAAGUAGUAUCUUGAUGAUUGAAUCCAAGGUUGCUUUCAUAAACAAAUCCUUCCCAAAAAGAAAAAACACAAGAUUUUUUUGUAAUUUCAAAAAGUAAACAAUUUAAGACCAAAUAUCUUUUGUAUGCAUGAGUGGCUUUUGUUUAAAGUUGUAAAUGAGUCUGUAUGUCUUAUAUAAUAGCAAUGCAAUAAUGUUGCAAACAUACUUGGAUCUCUAUUGCUUGGUUGCAGAUUGAAGCUUCAUAAAUGAUGCCAGCAAGUUUAACUGCAUUGGUUUUGAAAACUGCACUACUGAAGUCUCUCACUACUUUUGUUGAGAAUUCAGCGCUCAUCACCUUCCUCUGAUGCCUCCACUUUUGCCCGUCCACUCCAAAGAUCCCAUUGCCUAGUCCAUCUGACAAAACGCUGUACAUAUACGACCCCUGCAGCAUGAUGAAAACUUGGAUGGUAGUAUGUACGUAUAAAUUUAACUUGUACACACACAUAUAGGAUACAUGGUCCUUCUAGUGAGCGAUCAUUUUUUUAUUAUCUUUUAUAGGGAUACCGCUACAUCAUUGGAUUUGGUUUUUAAUGACUUUGUAUGAUUGAGAUUAAAUUAAAAAUUUUAACACUUUAUGUCAAGCCUGAACCAUUCAAGAUCAUUAAAAAUAAAUCAAAGUUUUGAACGAUAUAUUUAUAUGCAUACUUAAUUAAGCAUAUAAUAAAUGAUCAUAUACCUUGCCAUAAUUAGUGAAGUUUGUUUUGAGCACAUAUUCCACAUUUGCAGGAUCUGCUGUGUAAACCGCUCCUUUGAACAAGUCGAGCAUCCGGUAAGUUUUGUACUUGCAUGCAAGCUCAGUCAUGUAAUGGUGCAGCCUAGAGAAGUUGAUAAGUUGGUGCACCACCGUUCCGGCAACAGGAUGGCAUAUCUUGUUCUUGCCACGCAAUCUUCUGGCACGGUGUCUAGCCACAACUACAGCUAAAACCAACACUGAACUUAAUACUACUACAGCCGUGGAAGCAAAAUCCAUGACAGUGUUGAAGAAGAACGUAGUAGCUAGCUAGCAAAGGAAGAUGGUUUUUCUGUUUGUGCCGACUUCCCUACCCACCUACCCACGAAAGUUCUUGUAUGCACCAAGGUUCAAGUGAACCAAGUGUUAAAAUUUAAUCUCAGCCGUUUAUUAGAUCUAGCUUUUACAUGACACUAACACCGAUAUUGACGCCGUUAAGAGUAUUAAAAAAUGAAUAAUAGUCAACACAGUAAAACUCAUAAAUGCUAAUAUUUAAUUAAUCAAAUUUACCCUGCUUAGAUAUGCGGACGAAUGAUGGAAAGUCCAUAGGUUCAAGGACUUUUAUUGGGUGCCUGCCUGCCUGGUUCAAACCAGGAACAAUGAUCUAAUUUAUUUUUAAUUUUAUUUCCUUAAUGAACUUCAUUAACACCUUCUUAUUACAAACUACAAUAAUUACAAAAAGUUUAAAUUAAAAUUUCUUAUUUUCUAUUGACAUUUAUAAUUUUAGAAACUUAUUAUACAAAAUUUCCUUCGUGGAUUCAAGCCUCAAUAUAAUUCUAUCACUUUAGACUUCUAUGAUCUAAAGUGAGAAAAAUCUAAACAUUGAAACAUAUAACUAACAUAUAACUGUUGUAAAUAGAAAAAAGUUCUUUAAAAAAUUAACAUAAACCUUGCCUUUUUCUUUAAAAACUUAUUUUACUUACGAGAAACACUUUAGAGCUAACCGGUUAGCUUCAUAAUAUGAAACUAAUAGUCUAUUAUUUCAAGUUUUCGGUCACAUAUCGACAUAUUCACCUUUGAGUUAAUAGUUCAUUAUGAGUAGAUUAAUUCUGAAAUUUUCAACUAAAAUCAUUUGGAUUUUUCAUAAUUUUAUAAUUACGAACUUGAAUGGUUCAUGUCGGACAUAUUUGAUAUUUAAUGCAUAUGGUUAACUACAUGGAUCGAUUUCAAUAAUGACGAAAACCAAUUGUUUUUUAUUUAUUUUUUUAUUUUUUAUUUUUUUUUUUGUCAAUAUCCAUAUUGUGUUUCUCCUUUAUUACAUCCAACAUUCAUAUUGCAUGGCCUAUUUACUCUAAACUCAAUGAAUUUGGAAGAUAUAGUUUUUCGUAUUAUUAAUAAACAAGACAUAGACCACAUAUAAUUUGUUCUAUCCAAUGUAAAAAUUUAUAAACGGACACAUAGCGAUGUAUACAUGUAUUACGUACACUUAGUAAUAGCUACGUACAUUGUUAAAAAAUUAAUCAAAUCUAACUUCAUUUCAACAUAAGCAUUUAUUUUGUUAAAGUUGACCAUGUAAAUAAGGAGAAUAUAUAUGCAAUUAAACAUGUAUCAAUGAUCACAUAUUAAACAUGUAUCAAAUAAACAUGCAAAUCAAGACUUACAUUGUUGUAGAUAUAAAAGAUUUUGUGCACAUCUGUAAUAUUGAAACCGAAAAUUGGUAUAAAUUUGAAUAUGUGACGCAUUAGUAAAAAUUUAUUUAUAAUAAAUUUCUAUUAAUAUCCGGUUAUAUUUGCCUAGAAGAAAUAUAUAGCACAAAUUAGAAGUGACAUAGAGAACUCGUUAUGUGCCAAUGAAUAAAAAAAAUUGCACGCCCGCAUGUGUUACGCGCGCUAAAGGAUACUAUAAUGUUAAACAAUGGAUUUGAUUUUACAAAUUUUCGACAUUAGUCAACUAUGUCAAUUUUGUCACCUAAAUACCUAAAAAGAAAAUAGACUAUUACCUAAAUACCCCGGCCCUUAUUAAUAUGCCAGGAACAUUCACCUUAUCAACAAAGGAUAAACAAGUAAUUUAUUAAAUAGCAUUUUUGAUUAUAUGAUCUAAUCUUGAAGAUAAUAUUAUAUUGAGAUGAUGAUGUCGUGAACCAGUAUUAUCCUAUAAUCUCUCCUAAAAGGAAGUCAUGAUAGAAUACAGAUUCAGUAUUCAUUCCCAGCAAAUCCUAAAAUCAUGGCGAAGAUGGACUCAGCGCGAUUCAAUGGAGAUUCAAUCGACUCAAUGGGAUUCAAAAGAUGGAGGACCGAUCCGGAUCACUGGUCGCCGGCAACAUCAGCGUUUCCGGUAACAGCCACAGCCAUACAUUCGAUCAAAAUCUCUCUCUCUCUCUCUCUCUCUCUCUCUCUCUACUACUACNNNNNNNNNNNNNNNNNNNNCUUCAUCCUCCUCGAUUGUUACCCUUUGAGAAAAGAAAAACAGACCCUUUUCAUUUUCGAUUGGAUCAUACCGAGCUCAUAGUCAGAUAACUUCCUCCUCGAUUGAGUAGUUAGUAGUUACCCUGGUUUAAUUUCAUAAAUUUAAACGGGUUAAUGGGAUUCAAAAGAUGGAGGACUGAUCCAUCUCCAUUCUCCAGUCAUGAUCGCCGCCCUCGUUCUCCGUCAUCUUCUCUCCGGUCACUAGGGUAAUAAUGAUAUAAGUGAUUUUAUUUUUACUGCGUUUUCAGUUUUUUUUUUUUUAAGUCUGCUAACCUAACGGUGGUAUAGUUCUGUUAGUCCAUGUUAGCUGGUUCAAGUGCACCACGGUGCACUGAAUCCGCUCCGGUUUUGUGGCAAAAAUUACUGCCAAGCUCAAUGCUACAGCAGCGGAAAACAACAAAAGGAGCAGUACUUGUCUUUCUCGUUGGAUUUGAAUUGCAGGACUGGAUGUUAUAUGGCCUGCAUGGGUUGGAGAAUCGAGAUGAGCAAGGCUUGGCCGAAGCGCAAGCUGGUCCACCAUUUCAUCAGCCUGUACCAAUUGGGACGCAAUCACUGAGGGCGAGGACAUACCUCUUUACGUUCUCUGCAGCUACUCAAUCUGCUAUGACACCCUGUUUUGUACUAUUUGUUCAUCGGAUUUCAAGUUUUAGUCGACACUAUAAACUAGGUAGGCACUUCAGAAAAGCAAAGGUCUUUUUUUUUUUUUUUGCCGACUACUUGGCAUUGACGAAUAACUGAUAGCUGGAUGAAUUAAGCAUGAAAUUGAUUUUCACCGAUUGGAGCACAUUCUAAAACUCAUGUUUUACUAAUUGUGUGAUUAAGAAAUAUGACUAUUUCAUAUAUAGAAGGGGCUUUGCAUACAAGGUUUGGUACGAUAUAUAGGAGGUUCGUGGGAGUGUGAUGAGGGACAUGGCUAAGAUAAUGUUAAUCAUGUUAUGUAAUACACACAUCCAUAUAUACAUCAGAUACACCGUAGAAUUUUGGUUAUUACUGCUGUAGAAAGUUUGAUUAUAUUUUAAAUUACCAAAAUUAACCCUGUUGGGAGAAAGACCUCCGGAUAGAGAGAACGGGACUUGGGAGAAACUGAGAAAGUUAGAGAAGAAUCCACUAUCAGUGAAAAACAAAGGGUCAUACUGUCACAGGCUUAUUGGGCAAAGGAACCAAACAGUUUAUGUAAAAGGGAAAUGUUGGUUUUUUAUUUUUUUUAUUUUGACGAUGUAAGGGAAAUGUUGGUUGAUCGAGGACAGAAGAAGAAGAAGAGGAGGAGGAGGGACACAAGAUCGAGCACAGAAUCUAAUAGUUGGCCUUUGAUUAUCAAAUUUCAAAUUUUGGUAGUUCUCAACUCUCAAUUUUUCAUUAAUUAGCAAGAGAUCAAUGUUGUUUUUUUUUCUGGGUUUUUUUUUUCCUGAUUUUCUUUGAUGCUAAAAUCAAAUAGGUUUUCUCUGUGUUGCUCUCCUUGCAUGCAGCCAAAACCCUAGUUAAUACAGUAAUAUAUGAACCAUAUAUACAUAGUUUUUUCGGUAAACGACAUAUCAAUAGUAUCCCUUAUGGUAAUCGUUAGAUUACUUUAAGUAAUAGUUGACCUAUUCUUUCAUCGUUAUCAAGCAAUGCUGCAAUGGUUAUCUUGAUCACACAGUUUGAAGAUGACAAGGCAUUUGAACGCUACUAGGAAAAAUAAGAAGAUAACAUAGACAAAACAAGGUGAAUGUAGUUAUAAAACUGGGGGUUAUUUUUUUUUUUUUUUUUUUUUUUGUAACAGGUAAAAAAACAGGGGAUUUAAAGGUCUUCACAGACUUGAAGGGGGAGUGGAGUACUCCAUGGCCAAAUUGUCAUUAUUAGAAUGGAAGACUGAAAAGGUCUGCCUUUGAUUUCUUCCAUGCAUUUGGAUCCCUAUUGGCACCCCGAGUGGAUAGCUACUUUGAUAUGUAAAGUCAGGGAAUAAAAAAAAAAAAGAAAGCUAAAACAGCAUUAUGUUAAGUACUCUUCAUCUUUAAACUUACAUUCAUGCACAUUUUGGAGCCCAUUCUCGGAUGCACUAAGUUUGAAAUGCCUUGUAGUCUCUUCAAGCCAUAGUCCCAAAGACAACAAAACGAGCAUUUUAAUGGGGAUCUUUGUCUGCCCAUCUUCUGCUGUUCUAUUGUUUGACAUAUGUUGUUUCAUGUACUACUUACAAAUCAAAAACUUAGCACUGUUUGUCACACAAUGCAAAAGAUGAGUAUCGUAGUCUUUUCAUUCGGUGUAACUUCACUAAUUAAUUAUACCUUGCCAUAAUUAAUGAAGUUUGUUUUGAGCACAUAUUCCACAUUUGCAGGAUCUGCUUUGUAAACCGCACCUUUGAAAAGGUCGAGAAUCCUGUAAGUGUUGUACUUGCAUGCAAGCUCGGUCAUGUAAUCGUGUAUCCUAGAAAAGUAGAUAAGUUGGUGCACGACAGUUCCGGCCACAGGAUGGUAUCUCUUGUUCUUGUCACGCAAUCUUCGGCUACAGUGUCUAGCCACAACUACAGCUAAAACCAUCACUAAACUCGAUACUACGGCAGUCGAAACCAAAUCCAUGACAGUGCUGAUCGAAGAAGAAUGUAGUAGCAGAGGAAGAUAGCUUUUCUGUUAUUUGUGCCGAUCGACUUCCCUAUCCAACUAUAUAUUCAAGCUAGAUAUUAAUUUGCAUGGGAACUCAGCAGCUAUUGAACAAUAAUGAAGUGAUCAAGCUAGGCUCCACUCCAAUAAUACAUAUACGGGGACUGAUUGGAGACUAGUAAGAUUGACAUGCAUGGCAUUGGCUGGCCAGAUCUCCUUCUCGAUCACAUUCCUUAUCACUAAAGUUUUUCAAGAUCGCUAUGACUAAUCAUUGAAGCUAGCUUAUGAGUUUCUGUCCAGAUCGACUAACAGUUCCCUCUCCUCUUUCAUUUUUUGUCUACAUUUAUCAUGUGCCCGUGCUCAGCUUACCGCUAACUCAACUGGUUGCUCUCAAACAGGACAGGGAAAGAAGUAAAUGAUUGUUGGUCCAACAAUAGGGCCCCGUGCCAGAUAUAGACAUUUAUUUUUUGGAAUUUGAGUACUUUUCUCUAUAUGCCAUCCCAUGCAUGUUACGUACCUAAUUGUUCUUUAGUAUAUGCUAUGAUUGAUAACCGACAGGCCAGGAAUGACUUGGAUAUAUACCAGCUAAACCUUUGACACAAAAGGAGCACAGCCAUGCUAGGUAGAUAUGCAGACAUGUUUCGUGGCAUGGGAAAAUUACUGCCAAGCUCAAGCUGUGUUUUCAAACGGUAUACUAAAAAACUAAAAACUCUACGCCAGACGCUUAGAGAAACUGUUUCAAACUUGUUCUCAUGCGGUCUGUGUUAUGCCAAAUAAUGGUCUUCAUCAGAGUACUUUUCCAAUAAUGCACCAAUUUAUCAAGCAAAUUAACUUUUAUUGAUUACAAUAUGAAAGAUGAUGAAACGGGAACUUGCAUUGAACAAUAUAUACUAGAUCAAGGAUUUUACAUAGCAAGACCAGUGAUGCACUGAAGGAAGUAGCUAUGGCACAUGGGACUUAAGGUCUUGCAUGCAAUAAUCUUGGGGAGGCAUUCACAUAGAGACCUCCAUCAAUUGGUAGGGUGAUCAUUGUCUUGUAAUUGACAAUUUUUUCCUCAUCAGCAAGCUUGAAUAUAUAGCUGCCUAAAACCACAGCAGAAAAAAUCUUCAUCUGUGUAUAGGCAUGUUCCUUUCCUAAACAAAUUCUCGGACCGGCCUGCAUGUAAUAAAAAAAAAAUCUCAUCAAAAGUCACAUUUUUUCAGAGAUAACAGCAAAUGUUGAGUGAUUUUAAUAUCUUUUCUUACACUGAAGGCUAUGAAUUUGUAAGGGCUUGCAUCCUGGAAAAGGCCAUUUUCGUCGAGCCAUCUCUCUGGCCGAAACUCUUCUGCAUCAUCACCCCAAAGAGAUUUCAUCCUUCCCAUUGCAUAAGGUUGGUAUACCACCAUGUCACCCUUUUUUACACUAAAUCCAUCUGGCCAGGUAUCAUCAGAAAAACACAUCCUAUUGUUCUAUAAAUGACAGAAUCACACAGACAAACUUGUUAGGAAGUAGAAUGUGCUAUUCGAAUCUAGAAAGGAAGUCAUUAAUUGUAACCUUGCAAGUUUCAGUUGAGCAUAUUAGAUUUAUUUACCAUUGGAACUACAGGGUAGAGUCUUAAUGUUUCCGUCAAAGCUGCAUGUAGAUAUUGCAUUUUGUUAAGGGCUUCAUCUGUAAGGCUCGCUGCAAGCUCAUCAACUCUUAAAUCAUCUUUCAAAUUUGCUACUUCUCUAACUUCCUUUGCAAUCUUUUCUUGUAUGUGAAGGUGCUUGCACAUCAUAUAAACAAACCAUGAAAGAGUGCAAGCUGUCGUGUCUUGUCCGGCGACUGUAACACAGAGGACUAUGUCUCUCAAGUACUUUGGAUCAGUAUCUUUCAAUUCCAAACGCCUUGAAACCAAGUCUCUUUUCUUCAGCUGCCAUUAAUCCUCGCUCAUUACAUUAGUAAUGUUUACACUCUAGAUAUAAAAGCAAUAACAAGCAGGAUGACAUGGAAGGCUAGGUAACUCACAGAUAGGUUGUUUUCUGGACUUUGCAGAGCUUCAAUCUUGUUAUCGAUCAACUUAUACACAAAUUGAUCAACCACUUUGAUGUUUUUCUUUAGCUGUGCUUCCUUGCCGAUGUUCAAGAAGCGUUUGAUCUUCCAGAAUUUAUCAACAUUCCGAUACAGGGCAGCUUCUUGUUGCGAUUCGAAAGCAUGAGAAAACCCUUUACCUUCUUCAUCUUUUCCGCUCAUGCUGUCUAGUUCGAUACCAAGUAGAAUCUUUAUGAUUGAGUCUAAGGUUGCUUUCAUAAAUAAAUCCUUCAAAACAAAAUGAACACAAUUAAGAUUUAUGAAGGAUAAAAUAAAUACAACAACUUAAGACCAUAAACCAAAUAAAUAUAAAAUUGAACCUUCCGAACAUGCAUGUUUCACAUACUAAAACUUCACUAAAACCACCUUUUAGGAUGUUACCUACAUCCUACCGUAUGUGGCAACUAAUGUUACAUAAAGUCCAACAUAUCACAAACUUUCAUGAAAAUAACGUGUUUAUACCACAUAAUGUGAGAUACAUGUAGUACCCAUAAGUAUGGUUUUCAGCCUCAUAUAUUUCUUUUCUUUCACAAUUAAUUAACACGUGCAUCACACAAGUAUGAGGUUUGUAAUAAUAAUCCAAUGUGAUUGGCGAAAAACAGAAACGUUGCAAACAUACUUGGAUCUCUAUUGCUUUGUCGCUGGUUGCAGCUUUAAAAAUUAUGCCGGCAAGUUUAACUGCAUUGGUUUUGAAAACUGCCGUACUGAAGUCUCUCACUACUUUUGUUGAGAAUUCAGCACUCAUCAUCUUCCUCUGAUGCUGCCAUUUUUGCCCAUCCACUCCGAAGAUCCCAUCGCCGACGACAUCCGACACAAUGUUGUAUAUAAACGUCCCCUGCAUCAUGUUGGAAGUAUAAUUUGAAUGGCACAUAUAUACGUAUGACUUUAACAUUUAUAUAUUUAAGCAUUACACAUCAUACCUUGCCAUAGUUGGUGAAGUUUGUUUUGAGCACGUAUUCCACAUUUGCAGGAUCUGCUGUGUAAACCGCACCUUUGAAAAAGUCGAGUAUCCUGUAGGUGUUGUACUUGCAUGCAAGCGCGGUCAUGUAAUCGUGUAUCCUAGAAAAGUAGAUAAGUUGGUGCACGACAGUUCCGGCCACAGGAUGGUAUCUCUUGUUCUUGUCACGCAAUUUUUGGCUACAGUGUCUAGCCACAACUACAGCUAAAACCAUCACUAAACUCAAUACCACCGCAGUCAAAACCAAAUCCAUGACUGCUGAAGAAGAAUGUAGUAGCAGAGGUAGAUAGCUUUCUGAUAUUUGUGCCGACUUCCCUAUCCAACUAUGGAAGCUAGAUAUAUGCAAGGGAACUCAUUAAUUAUUGAACAAUGAUGAAGUGAACAAGCUAGAUAGGCUCCACGUCCACUACUCCAAUAAUGCAUAUACGUGCAUGGACUGAAUGGAAACCGGAAAGAAAUGACAUGGCUGGCCGAAUCUCCAUCGCACAUUCCUUAUCACUAAAUUGCUAGCUAGGACUAAUCAGUGAAGCUAGCUAGCUAGCUCAUGGGUUUCUGUCCAGACUAACAGUUCCCCCACUUCUUUCAUUUUUCAUGUGCAUGCCCCAUGCUCUGCGUGCGAACCCGAUAACGCAACUGGUGCUCUGGAACAGAAGGACAGUGAAAGAAGCAACUGAUUGCUGCCUUGCUGGUCCAUAUAUAAAUAUAUAUAUGCCAAACCACCCGUGCCAGAUAUAGACAUUUCUAUUUUUGGAAUUUGAGAAAAAUUCACUAAACCAUGCAUGGUACGUGCUUGUUCUUUAGUAUAUGCUACGUAAGAGCAAGUCCACCUCAAGAGGAAAUGCCUGACCCAGACCUUCCCCACAUCAAAAGAAGACUCAGCAAAAAAAAAGCGAGUCCACCCAUGAAUGACUUGGAAUUACUUGGAAAUAUUAGCUAAACCUUGACACAAACGGAGCACAGUCGAAGCUAGCUAGAUCUAUAUGCAGAGACAAAUUUUGUGGCAUGGGAGUCAGGCAGACUGCCAUAGCAAAAGUUACUACUUACUACCAACAACUGCAACAAGCUCAAUGCUCCAGCAGCGGAGACCGAAAACCCAUGCAAACAAAAGGAGCACUUGUCUUUCUCAGUUUCUCGUUGGAUUUGAAUUGCAGGUCUGGGUGCUAUAUGUCCUGCAGGGAUCGGAGAUGAGCAAUAAGGCUUGGCCGAAAACACAAGCUGGUCCACCAUUUGAUCGGACUUCAUCACCGAUUUACGUUCUCACCUGCAAUCACUGAAGGUAAGCACAGACCGGUUUACAUUCUCAACAACUCAAUGUGCUAUAUAUGACAGUGUGACACCCUGUCAGCUGCAGAUCUUGUUCUAUAUGUUGAUUGGAUUUCAAGUUUUGCCUUUCAUCUAGUCACUAUUAACUACUUGUAACAAAGUUUGGCUAAAUAUUAACUUACCAAAGUUAAUCCUGUUGAGUUUAUAUGAUAAAGAAACAAAUACGAGGGUUACUAUAGUAAAAGCAACAUAAUAAAAAAGUGCGGGGAUAGAAUGAGACUUGGAAGAAGAAUCCCACUAUCAGCGAAAAACAAAGCAAAAAAACAGUUUAUGUAAAAGGGAAAGGUUGGUCGAUCGAGGGCAAAAGAAGAAGAAGAAGAGAGACACAAGAUCGAGCGGAGAAUCUAAUGGGUUGGCCAUUGAUUAUCAAAUUUCAGAUUUUGGUAAUUCUCAGCUCUCAAUUUUUCAUCAGAUAGUAAGAUUACAAUUUUCUUUUCUGGGUUUUGUUUUUCCUGAUUUGCUUUAUUUGAUGGUAGAAUCAAAUGGUAUAGGUUUUCACUGACAGCUCUCCUUUCAGUCGAAACCCUAGUUGAUAAAGUAAUGAAUCAUAUAGAUUAUUUUUUUUUUUUUCUGGUAAACGACAUAUCAACAGUAUCCCUUAUAUAUGGUAAUCAAAAGAUCACUUUAAGAAUUUAAGUAAUAACUGAUCUAUUCCUUCAUCAAGUUAUCAAGCAAUGCUUAUCUUGAUUACACAAUUUCAAGAUGACAAGGUACUUGAACACUACUAGGAAAAUUAAGAAGAUAACAUAGACAAAACAAGGGUUGCAAUGUAGUUAUAAAACAGGAGAUUUAAGGUCUUGCAUGCCCUGAUCUCGGGUAGGCCUUCACAAAGAGGCCUCCAUCAAUUGGGAAGCUGACUGAGGUCUUGUAAGUGACAACUUUUUCCUCAUCAGCUAGCUUGAAUAUGAAGCUGCCUAAUAGCACAGCAGAAAGAAUCUUCAUUUGCAUAUAAGAAUGAUCCUUUCCUAGGCAAAUUCUUGGACCCGCCUGCAUGUAAUUACAUAAUCUCAUCAGAAAUUACAUUCCUUUAUGUUUUAACAAAAUUUGCAAUAGCUAGCAGUGAGUGUUAGAUUGAUUUCACUAUCUUCUCUUACACUGAAGGCUGUGAAUUUGAAAGGGCUUUCAUCCUGGAAAAUGCCAUUUUCGUCUAACCAUCUUUCUGGCCUAAACUCUUCUGCAUCAUCUCCCCAUAGAAAUUUCAUCCUUCCCAUCGCAUAAGGUUGGUAUACCACCAUGUCCCCCUUUUUGAUACUAAAUCCAUCUGGCCAGGUAUCAUCAGAAAAACACAUCUUUGCAUUCUGUGAAAGGCAGCAUCACACAGUAAAACAUGUUAAGGAGAAUGAGUAAUUUUAACUUAAAAAUGCGAGAAAUUAUAAUGUUGCAAAUAUGAUUGGACACUCAAUUUAUGAAUAUUAGAUAUAUCUACCAUUGGAACUGAAGGAUAGAGUCUGAGUGUUUCAGUCAAAGCUGCAUGGAGAUAUUGCAUUUUGUUAAGAGAUUCUUGAUUAAUGCUG
rnacentral:lncRNA from 1 species